CAACAACAACAACAUCAACGUCAGGAGAAAGACGGCGAGCGGAGAGCGAGGUGAAGCUACGUCCCUCUACUAUGUGUGCGUGAUGCUAACAGGAGCGCGGCGAAUGCGAAUGGCGCUAUUGGCUGAUUCGAUAACGGAGAGAAGACGCCGUCGCCGAAGCUUGUGGAGCAUCAGCUGUAAGAUGCCUGGGUGAGCUCAUGACGCUAACGUGCUCAGCCAGACACGCCUGUUAGCAGAAGAACCGAGAGAAAUCGCUCACUUCCUGUUGGGAAGCUGUGGAUCCCAACUGGUCAGUGGAAGCGGCCACACUGGCAUCGAACCUGCCACAGCCAGGUGGUCGUGCCAACAACCGUGGACAGAGGAUCAGAGCCGCCCUCAGAUUACCUGAGUGCAAACCUGCCCCGCGCAGACCUUUAGACGUCUUCAGGACACAACUGCCAGCUGGUCAUAGGUUAGUGGGAAGAUCUACACGUUUCUCAAAGGCUAAGGGCUAGCUAGCAAGUGGCACCCAUGUUAGCUUGGAAAGCUACGGUUAUCAAGUGGGACCCGGGUUAGC